ensembl:processed_transcript
CUUUCCGGUGAGGGAACCUUUCUCCAGACAUGAUCAAUGAAACUGGCGAGGGACUGACAUGAUCUAGCUUACCUUCUUGGGUCACCGAACGGAUUGGAACUCAUGUGAGAAUAUAUCUCUGUUGUAUUCAAAAGGCAUGUGACAUAAUUAUCCCAGCGAUCACUAAAACUGUAAAUUUGGAUGCAAUUAAGAGAGAAAACUCCACACAUUUAUGGAAACUUAAGUGAUGGAAUGUGAUCCGGAAUGUACUCUUCUAUUUCUGAAAUCUCUGUAAAACAGUACAAUAGAAAAAUGAAAACUAAAGGCAUAAUUGAGGAAAUCCAACAUCCCACAAAAAGGAAUUCUAGAAAGAGGAAUCUUCAUGUAUACCAGGCUGGCCUUGAGUUCACCAUGUAGCUCACUUCCUGAUCUCCAGACUUUACCUCUAAGUGCUGAUAUUUGAAUCCAAUGGCACUAAACUCGUGGAGUAGUUUUAAUCAAAAUUUGUUUUUUGUGCUUAUUAUCUUACAGUUUUUCUAUAAUAUUCUAAUAGAUCUCAAGAUUUGCCACAUCUUAGGCUAUCUUUGUACUAUUAAAUUGUAACAAUGAAAAAAUUGUCCGUUUUGAGACACAAAUGUGCUUCUGUGAGAGGCUGGCUAAGGCUAGGAACACAUUGAGAGCUAAAACUGUAUUGAAGAACUACCCAGAGAAGAAACACUUGAUGCAAUUUUUGACUCCUAAGCACAACACCAACUAUUGUGGGUGUCACAUAAUUUCUUACUCUUAUGCACUGUAUAAGGUUAAAAGCCAGUUUAAAAUUAUCACUAGUAAAUCUGUAAAAAAUAUUUUAUUAAAAUUCUCAACC